rnacentral:rRNA from 1 species
AAAGAAACCAACAGGGAUUGCCCUAGUAACGGCGAGUGAAGCGGCAACAGCUCAAAUUUGAAAUCUGGCUUCGGCCCGAGUUGUAAUUUGCAGAGGAUGUUUCUGGCGCGGUGCCUUCCGAGUUCCCUGGAACGGGACGCCAUAGAGGGUGAGAGCCCCGUAUGGUUGGAUACCAAGCCUGUGUGAAACUCCUUCAACGAGUCGAGUAGUUUGGGAAUGCUGCUCAAAAUGGGAGGUAAAUCUCUUCUAAAGCUAAAUACCGGCCAGAGACCGAUAGCGCACAAGUAGAGUGAUCGAAAGAUGAAAAGCACCUUGAAAAGGGGGUUAAACAGUACGUGAAAUUGUUGAAAGGGAAGCGCUCAUGACCAGACUUGUGCCGGGCGGUUCAUCCGGGGUUCUCCCCGGUGCACUCCGCCCGGUUCAGGCCAGCAUCGGUUUUUGCUGGGGGAUAAGAACGGCAGGAACGUGGCCCUCCUUCGGGUGGGUGUUAUAGCCUGCCGUACGAUACCCUAGCAGAGACCGAGGUUCGCGCUCCGCAAGGA